GGUUGUGGCUCAGUGGUUGAGCACUUGCCUAGCAUGUGUAAGGUACUGGGUUCGGUUCUCAGCACCA
rnacentral:tRNA from 1 species